rnacentral:rRNA from 1 species
GACAGAGGGUGCAAACGUUGUUCGGAAUUACUGGGCGUAAAGCGCAUGUAGGCGGCCACGCAGGUCGGAUGUGAAAUCCCUCGGCUCAACCAAGGAAGUGCAUUCGAAACCGCAUGGCUGGAGUCCCGGAGAGGAAGGCGGAAUUCUCGGUGUAGAGGUGAAAUUCGUAGAUAUCGAGAGGAACACCGGCGGCGAAAGCGGCUUUCUGGACGAGGACUGACGCUGAGAUGCGAAAGCGUGGGGAGCAAACAGG